GUCUUCUAUUUUGGAACUUUGAAAGUUCUUUUUAGGGGUUUUCCCUUAGAGACU
rnacentral:tRNA from 1 species